UGAGAUGGAGUGCUUUAGACCGCUUCGCCACUCGGGAGAACAAUGCCAUUUGUUCAGAUAACAGAUGAUUUAUUGAUCUAUUAAAUCAUUCCUUCAGGCAUCAGUCUCACUUCAGAAUCCAAACCGGAUGUAAUAUAUUUCUUGCCACUGGUUGGCUUUGUGACGCUAGUCUGAUUUCCAAUAGGGAACACUGUAAACAGAAAGAGUUGCAUACUUCUUCACCCAGCUUAUGAAAAUUGUUCCUCUCUUUUAGAUCUGACACCCCUACUAGCUCAACCACAGUUCUCACAGCUGCAGUCGUCUGCUCCUGCACCUGCUACACCGGCCACGACAGGUGAUUCAGAUCUGCCACCCCCAGCAGUCCAGCAGUCCUCUGCUGUGGUAUUUAAUUUACUGGCUACACCGGUUCCUACUACACUGGCCGUGAAGGGAGAAUCUUUUGAGGAUUCCCAGAUGGAUACAGAUCUGCCAUGGACUCCACCACUACCCCAGACAGCCUCACCCAGAAGUGCAUGCACCGGGCCUAUCACAAAGCACAAAUGCACACACACUCUCUCUCUCUGUUACACACACAUUAUCCCCAAUGUAAAUACAUUGUAAUUAUUUUAUUUUAGGAUUGGAGAUAUCUUACGCCUACAUAUCCAUUAUCAAUAGCUACAUAAUUACUCUAUCCAAUCAAAGUGUGAUUGAUAAUAUUGUAAGAGUAUUGCUUAAUUUGUAGUUUGAGGAAAUUCUGUGUGCUUUUUUUCUGAGUUGAAAAACAUGCCUCCCUCUCUCUCUCACUCACACACACCCAAUGUAAAUACAUUGUUUAUUUUAUGUAUGCUCUAUUUUAUUUGAGGAUUGUGUGCAAUAAAGUACAUUCACAGUUAAA